GAGAAAAUUAAUUCCAGUUGGUGUUCUGGGUGGAAAUGAAGAGAAGGAGGAAGAAGACAAAGCAGCUUCUCCCCUUUCCUUUGCACUGAGGGCAGGCCCACGCCACUUUCUCUGGUGUGGCCACACCAUCGUCCACACGCUUUCCUAAGAGUGUGAGAAAAUUAAGAGUUUAGAAGAGAAAGGAAUUUUCUUUCUUGAAAAAUCUAGAAAUGGCCUUAAAACAGAAGACAACCCAGAUGGGACAAACUAGACUGAAUAGGAAAGAGCAGUGCCCCCAGACUGAACGUAUCCCAUGUAGUUCGGGGAGGAUGAUACCUCCUGACAAUGGCAUCUCUACCUCACAUCUUCCUUCACCACU
rnacentral:lncRNA from 1 species